rnacentral:piRNA from 1 species
UAACAUACAACAAAAAAAUUU